CCUACGGGCGGCAGCAGUGGGGAAUAUUGCACAAUGGGCGCAAGCCUGAUGCAGCGACGUCGCGUGGAGGAUGAAGGUUUUCGGAUCGUAAACUCCUGUUAAGUGGGAAGAAAGACAGUAUGUUAAUAGCAUGCUGGGAUGACGGUACCACUAGAGAAAGCACCGGCAAACUUCGUGCCAGCAGCCGCGGUAAUACGAAGGGUGCGAGCGUUAUUCGGAAUUACUGGGCGUAAAGGGCGCGUAGGCGGCUUCUUAAGUCACUUGUUAAAGACCACUUAGACCGGUGGGGAUGCGGGUGAAACUGGGAGGCUAGAGGGUAGGAGAGAGAAGUGGAAUUCUUGGAGUAGCGGUAAAAUGCGUAGAUCUCAAGAGGAACACCGAUGGCGAAGGCAGCUUCUUGGCCUACUACUGACGCUGAGGCGCGAAAGCGUGGGGAGCAAACAGGAUUAGAUACCCCAGUAGUCC
rnacentral:rRNA from 1 species